GACGAACGCUGGCGGCGUGCUUAACACAUGCAAGUCGAACGAUGAAGCCCAGCUUGCUGGGUGGAUUAGUUGCGAACGGGUGAGUAACACGUGAGCAACGUGCCCGACACUCUGGAAUAACUACCGUAAACGGUGGCUAAUACUUGCUAUGUGCCAGGGAGACAUCUCCUCUGGUUGGAAAGAUUUUUCGGUUUCGGAUCGGCUCACGGCCUAUCAGCUUGUUGGUGGAGGAAUGGCCUACCAAGGCGACGACGGGUAGCCGGCCUGAGAGGGUGACCGGCCACACUGGGACUGAGACACGGCCCAGACUCCUACGGGAGGCAGCAGUGGGGAAUAUUGCACAAUGGGCGCAAGCCUGAUGCAGCAACGCCGCGUGAGGGAUGACGGCCUUCGGGUUGUAAACCUCUUUUAGUAGGGAAGAAGCGCAAGUGACGGUACCUGCAGAAAAAGCACCGGCUAACUACGUG
rnacentral:rRNA from 1 species